rnacentral:rRNA from 1 species
UACGUAUGGUGCAAGCGUUAUCCGGAUUUACUGGGUGUAAAGGGAGCGCAGGCGGUGCGGCAAGUCUGAUGUGAAAGCCCGGGGCUCAACCCCGGUACUGCAUUGGAAACUGUCGUACUAGAGUGUCGGAGGGGUAAGUGGAAUUCCUAGUGUAGCGGUGAAAUGCGUAGAUAUUAGGAGGAACACUAGUGGCGAAGGCGGCUUACUGGACGAUAACUGACGCUGAGGCUCGAAAGCGUGGGGAGCAAACAGG